AUGGCCGCCGUCUCCACCCACGGCCGUGCCAACAAGACAGUAAUAUAUUGGGAUAUUUGUGGAGGAGAUUAUAUUGCUUCUUCUUAUAUUGGAACAAUUGAGAGGAGCAAGUUGUUGAGAAUUCUUUCUUACACACUUCACACUUUUCAGGGAAACAAAGACUUAAGUGAUGUUACUCAUGUUAUAGUAGAUGAAGUACAUGAACGCACUAUUUUGAGCAACUUUUUGCUGAUUGUUCUUAAGAGUCUUGUUGAAAACGCUCUAAUCAACCAGGAAGAAAGCUGA
rnacentral:rRNA from 1 species